rnacentral:rRNA from 1 species
GAUGAACGCUAGCGGCAGGCCUAACACAUGCAAGUCGAGGGGUAGAGGAAGCUUGCUUCCUUGAGACCGGCGCACGGGAGCGUAACGCGUAUGCAAUCUACCUUAUACAGAGGGAUAGCCCAGAGAAAUUUGGAUUAAUACCUCAUAGUAUUAUGAAAUCGCAUGGUUUUAUAAUUAAAGUUCCAACGGUAUAAGAUGAGCAUGCGUCCCAUUAGUUAGUUGGUAAGGUAACGGCUUACCAAGACAAUGAUGGGUAGGGGUCCUGAGAGGGAGAUCCCCCACACUGGUACUGAGACACGGACCAGACUCCUACGGGAGGCAGCAGUGAGGAAUAUUGGUCAAUGGACGCAAGUCUGAACCAGCCAUGCCGCGUGCAGGAUGACGGUCCUAUGGAUUGUAAACUGCUUUUAUACAGGAAGAAACACUCCCUCGUGAGGGAACUUGACGGUACUGUAGGAAUAAGGAUCGGCUAACUCCGUGCCAGCCGCCGCCGUAAUAC